ACAUAUAUCAUUGUAAUAAGUGGAGACCGUUCUGUCAACCAAGAGCUCCCGGAGGACCAUGGGAGAACUAAAGCCUCUACUCCCCCACCGAAAGCACAACACCCAGUGAGUAGAGACCCUCCGACAACCAUUCUGCUAAAACAAAAGGAAAGCUGAAAAAUCACUCCGGCAUGUGAGGUCCAAGCAUGAGGCCAGGCAUCCUGUUCUUGCUAGGAUACCAACAUGGAGGCUACUAUUCCACAGGCUCCAGGAAAUCAGGACCACCACGGCAGCUGAGGCCUGGCCAGUCUCAAUGUCUGACCAUAACGGGUCACGUCAUGUGACAUGGUGCCACAGCUCACGUGCUGCUAUCUCACAGUGGGACCAAAGAUCUCAGAAAUCCCUAAGCCACUGCCACACAGUAGGCAUUCCAUGUUAGUGGUUCAGAAAUCUGCCUUGAUAUUUAGAUCACUUGGGAACAUUCUAGAACUUAUCAUUUCUGGGCCCAGUGAACCGGAAACUUCAGAGAAUGAGGCCAGAACAGACCACUCAGAUCCUUUCUCCUCCCCCAAGAAGAUCAGCCACGCAAGAAUAUCUGGAGCCCUCUCCCCUCCCUAAUACCACACGAGAUGGAGUGAUCAUGGGAAAUUCCCUCCACCCCCGUCCCAAGGCCUCUGAUCCCUGUAGCACUCCAAGGCUGGUACACUGUCUACGAACUUAGAGACAUCUGCCCAUCCCACCAUAGCGUGGCGUUGCGGUGGUGGUGACAAGAGUGAGGAAGCAUGCCUUGCUCUGACCUCCACGGGCCAGGCUCAGCCAUCUCUACCUUGCAUUUAAGGGUCAUCAUUGAUGGUUAUACUAUGUCAAAGAAGGUCUCCAAAGAUCAAGAGCUGUACUCUACAUUAGAUGUGGGGACCCAGAUAGCUGCCUUUCUAGGAACAAGAGAAACCACGCCAAAUGGAGCUGUGGGUACCCACUGUAGGUUUUCAAGGACGGGGCCUUAGCUACGGAUCCAGCUUGCCUCUCCAGUGAGCCCCCUCAGUGACCACCCCUGCUCACUUACACACACAGCCUGGCUUCUUAGCCGACCACUGGUUAUUCUUUUGGCACGUGAUUGAUUUCUGCCCCACCAGCUCAAAGGCAGGCUGGCAUUCAAACUUGAGGGUGUCACCGUGGCGAAAGCGAGAGCCUUCUCUCUGGCCAUAGGCAGGUAUGCCGGGGUCUCCGCAACUGCCCUGCUCGAUCUCUGAAAGACAAGAAGACAGAAAACGAGAGACAGGAAGGGUGAUGUUACAUCUGUUCCGGCAACACAUGUUCCCCCACUGCAUGCUUCGAGGCUGUCCUACAGUGAGUUCCUACACGGGAUUCCUAAGUCCUGCACGACAGUGUCCUAAGACAAUAGGGCCUUCCGUCAUCACAGCCUGUGACUUUGUGUCCACACACUGUAUCACAGAGACUUGGAUAUCUGCAGUCGUGAAAGGUGGGUGUUACAGCUUUGGAUGUGGAAUUUCCCUCACAGGCUCCUGUGUUUGAACACUUGGGAGUCCCCAUCUGGUAGCACUGUUUUGGGAGGUUGUGAAACUUCUGGGACAGUAACCUAGUUAGCAGAAGUGGGUGGCUGAGAGGGAGCCCCGAGGGACAUCUGUUUCGGGUUCUAUGUGGCCUGAGCUCUUCGCCUCUUGCUCUGUUAAAGAUGUGAACAAGCCCUGCCUCGAGCUCAUGGCCAUGGACGGAGCCCCAGCAAGGUGGGCACUAUCCCCAUGAAAUAUUAAAGUAAAAUAAACCCUUCGUACUUUA